UACGAAGGGUGCAAGCGUUACUCGGAAUUACUGGGCGUAAAGCGUGCGUAGGUGGUUCGUUAAGUCUGAUGUGAAAGCCCUGGGCUCAACCUGGGAAUGGCAUUGGAAACUGGCGAUCUAGAGUGCGGUAGAGGGUAGUGGAAUCCCCGGUGUAGCAGUGAAAUGCGUAGAGAUCGGGAGGAACAUCUGUGGCGAAGGCGACUGCCUGGACCAGCACUGACACUGAGGCACGAAAGCGUGGGGAGCAAACGGG
rnacentral:rRNA from 1 species